rnacentral:rRNA from 1 species
GUGUUCAAUAUAUAUUUAAUUUUAAAAUCACGAAACUAGUCGAGUUAAAUUUACUUUAAUUUUGGUUAUUAAUAUUAACGUAGUAUUGUUAAUAAAUAAAGAAAACUUAGGGGUGAUAGGCCUAUCAAGUCUAGUGAUAUCUUGAUGUUUAGGAAAUAUAUAUAGUAUAUUCUCAAUAUAAAAAUGGUGAGGUUUUUAUAUACCACAAAUUAAGAUAUAAUAUACAAUGGCUGUAGUAAAAAACACCAUAUGUUCUUGAUUUAACAUUAUAUACUAAUCUAUUGUGUUAACUACUAAAUUAAUUACAAUAAUAGAUCUAUUACUAUAAAAAUGAAUGCAUUAGUAUUUGAUUAUAUAUUUCUAAGGAACUCGGCAAAAUAAUUCUCGACUGUUUAUCAAAAACAUAGCUUUAAGAAAGUAUUUAAAGUGUAACCUGCUCAAUGAUUUUUUAAAUAGCCGCAGUACCUUGACUGUGCAAAGGUAGCAUAAUCAGUUGGCUUAUAAUUGAAGUCUAGUAUGAAAGGGAUUUCGGGAAUUAACUGUCUUAAAAGUAUACCUAGAAUUUACUAAUUAAGUGAAAAUUCUUAUAUUAAUGAAAAAAGACGAGAAGACCCUAGAAAUUUUUUUUAACUUAGAAAAUAUAAUUUUGUUGGGGCGACAAGGUAACAGUAAACUUACCAUAAAUAAAUAUGGAACUAUUUAGUAGAAUAAAUAAAUUACUCUAGGGAUAACAGCAUAAUAAAAUAAAGAUUGUGACCUCGAUGUUGGACUAGGGAAUAUAAUAUUUAAAAGGUAUUAUAUGUGGCUCUGUUCGAGCUAUUUCCCCUACAUGAUCUGAGUUCAGACCGG